rnacentral:misc_RNA from 1 species
UCUCCGUUGGUGAACCAGCGGAGGGAUCAUUACAGGACUCGCAAUACUCGUUCACUUUGUGAACCCAACUACAAGCAUGUUGUUACAUCCUGAGACCUGGCGGGGGUUAUACCUAUGAGGGGGGCUUUGCCCGAGUGAACGUCUCCCUUCUUUUAACAUUUAAUUUAUGUACCAAACGUAGACUUAUCAAAAUCAAAUAUAACUUUAAACAACGGAUCUUUUUGCUCUUGCAGCGGUGAACAACGCAGCAGAUGCGCAGAGCACAGGUCUGAACUCCAA